rnacentral:rRNA from 1 species
GCGUAGUCGAUGGGAAACAGGUUAAUAUUCCUGUACUUGGUGUUACUGCGAAGGGGGGACGGAGAAGGCUAUGUUGGCCGGGCGACGGUUGUCCCGGUUUAAGCGUGUAGGCUGGUUUUCCAGGCAAAUCCGGAAAAUCAAGGCUGAGGCGUGAUGACGAGGCACUACGGUGCUGAAGCAACAAAUGCCCUGCUUCCAGGAAAAGCCUCUAAGCAUCAGGUAACAUCAAAUCGUACCCCAAACCGACACAGGUGGUCAGGUAGAGAAUACCAAGGCGCUUGAGAGAACUCGGGUGAAGGAACUAGGCAAAAUGGUGCCGUAACUUCGGGAGAAGG